UUUUUCCUUUCUUCCAGAAGGAGAUUUAACCAUAGUAGAAAGAAUGGAGAACUAUUAACUGCCUUUCUUCUGUGGGCUGUGAUUUUCAGAGGGGAAUGCUAAGAGGUGAUUUUCAAUGUUGGGACUCAAAGGUGAAGACACUGAAGGACAGAAUUUUUGGCAGAGGUAAGAUCUUCUUCGGUCACCAUACUUGAGUUAGCUCUAGGGAAGUGGAGAUUUCCAUUUGGAAUUCUAUAGCUUCUUCCAGGUCAUAGUGUCUGCCCCCCACCUUCCGGUGUCUCCUGAUAUGCAGCAUGAAUGAAAAUGGCAAGUUUCGUGGCCUUCCUUCUGCUCAUCUUUCGUGUCUGCCUCCUUUUGCUUCAGCUGCUCAUGCCUCACUCAGCUCAGUUUUCUGUGCUUGGACCCUCUGGGCCCAUCCUGGCCAUGGUGGGUGAAGACGCUGAUCUGCCCUGUCACCUGUUCCCGACCAUGAGUGCAGAGACCAUGGAGCUGAGGUGGGUGAGUUCCAGCCUAAGGCAGGUGGUGAACGUGUAUGCAGAUGGAAAGGAAGUGGAAGACAGGCAGAGUGCACCAUAUCGAGGGAGAACUUCGAUUCUGCGGGAUGGCAUCACUGCAGGGAAGGCUGCUCUCCGAAUACACAACGUCACAGCCUCUGACAGUGGAAAGUACUUGUGUUAUUUCCAAGAUGGUGACUUCUAUGAAAAAGCCCUGGUGGAGCUGAAGGUUGCAGCACUGGGUUCUGAUCUUCACGUUGAUGUGAAGGGUUACGAGGAUGGAGGGAUCCAUCUGGAGUGCAGGUCCACUGGCUGGUACCCCCAACCCCAAAUACAGUGGAGCAACAACAAGGGAGAGAACAUCCCGACUGUGGAAGCACCUGUGGUUGCAGACGGAGUGGGCCUGUAUGCAGUAGCAGCAUCUGUGAUCAUGAGAGGCAGCUCUGGGGAGGGUGUAUCCUGUACCAUCAGAAGUUCCCUCCUCGGCCUGGAAAAGACAGCCAGCAUUUCCAUCGCAGACCCCUUCUUCAGGAGCGCCCAGAGGUGGAUCGCCGCCCUGGCAGGGACCCUGCCUGUCUUGCUGCUGCUUCUUGGGGGAGCCGGUUACUUCCUGUGGCAACAGCAGGAGGAAAAAAAGACUCAGUUCAGAAAGAAAAAGAGAGAGCAAGAGUUGAGAGAAAUGGCCUGGAGCACAAUGAAGCAAGAACAAAGCACAAGAGUGAAGCUCCUGGAGGAACUCAGUAAGUUCCCAUUCCCCCAGAGACCCAGGCAUGUCUUCCUGUCCCUGCUUUAUGCGCCUUGAUGCAUCUUCCCCUGUUCCUUCCAUUGCAGGAUGGAGAAGUAUCCAGUACGCAUCUCGGGGAGAGAGACAUUCAGCCUAUAAUGAAUGGAAAAAGGCCCUCUUCAAGCCUGCGGAUGUGAUUCUGGAUCCAAAAACAGCAAACCCCAUCCUCCUUGUUUCUGAGGACCAGAGGAGUGUGCAGCGUGCCAAGGAGCCCCAGGAUCUGCCAGACAACCCUGAGAGAUUUAAUUGGCAUUAUUGUGUUCUCGGCUGUGAGAGCUUCAUAUCAGGGAGACAUUACUGGGAGGUGGAGGUAGGGGACAGGAAAGAGUGGCAUAUAGGGGUGUGCAGUAAGAAUGUGCAGAGAAAAGGCUGGGUCAAAAUGACACCUGAGAAUGGAUUCUGGACUAUGGGGCUGACUGAUGGGAAUAAGUAUCGGACUCUAACUGAGCCCAGAACCAACCUGAAACUUCCUAAGCCCCCUACGAAAGUGGGGGUCUUCCUGGACUAUGAGACUGGAGAUAUCUCAUUCUACAAUGCUGUGGAUGGAUCGCAUAUUCAUACUUUCCUGGACGUCUCCUUCUCUGAGGCUCUAUAUCCUGUUUUCAGAAUUUUGACCUUGGAGCCCACGGCCCUGACUAUUUGUCCAGCGUGAAAAGAAGGAGAGUUCCUCCAAUUCUGACCGAGUGCUGAUCAUUCCCUAGAGACACCAGUAACCCCGGGCUUAGCUAACGAAAGUGGGGAGCCUCAGGCUGAAGUAACUUUUCUCUGCUUCUCCCUGCCCAGCUCAGAGCUGAGGGCCUCCCCCUCCACAGCAACCAAUCACAACCAUAAAGCUACAAGCACGCACUGAAGCACUUUACUGAUACUCAUUCAAUUAUUCAUAUGACAGUUGUUUGAGUUUGGUACCACCUUAUUUUCCCCUUAUACAGAUAAGGAAACUGGGGUGCAGAAAAGUGAAUUGACUACAAAGUAGACAUGAUUAGUUGACAACACAGCUGGGAUCUAAACAGCAAUAACUAACAUUAAUGGAGAACUUAAAAUGCUCUGAGUGCUGUGUUAUGAGCUUUGGUGGGUGUCACUCCUUUAAUCCUCGCAACACCCUGUCGGGUAGUCUCAUUUAGCAAGUAUGGAAGUUGAGGCAGGGCAACAUUAAGUAACUUACAUAACUCAUGCAGUAAUUUCUGCAGCUGGGAGAUGUUCAGCUUCAGUCCCUGGCCCUAUGGCCGUUCUUUUCCACCCUGUUUCUUCCCCCAUAGGAAGAACCCACCUGUAGCCCUGAGGUUCUUUUCCCAGGAUGGCUCCAGGAUAAGGAUCACUGUAGGUGGUUGUGGAGUUGACACCCCUGUUGACUCCUUCCCAGCUGAUUGUCAGAGCCUUAGACCCAGCACGCCUUGGAUUAGCUCUGCAGAGUGUCUUGGUUGAGAGAAUAACCUCACCGUACCCACAUGACACGUGAUUUGGAAAGAGACUAGAGGCCACACUUGAUAAAUCAUGGGGAACAGAUGUGUUCCCACCCAACAAAUGUGAUAAGUGAUCGUGCAGCCAGAGCCAGCCUUCCUUCAAUCAAGGUUUCCAGGCAGAGCAAAUACCCUAGAGAUUCUCUGUGAUAUAGGAAAUUUGGAUGAAGGGAGCUAGAAGAAAUACAGGGAUUUUUUUUUUUUUUUUUUUAAGAUGGAGUCUUACUCUGUUGCUAGGCUGGAGUGCAGUGGUGCGAUCUCAGCUCCCUGCAACCUCCACCUCCUGGGUUCAAACAAUUCUCCUGCCUCAGCCUCCCGAGUACUGGGAAUAUAGGUGCACGCCACCACACCCAACAAAUUUUUGUACUUUUAGUACAGAUGAGGGUUCACUAUGUUGGCCAGGAUGGUCUCGAUCUCUUGACCUCAUGAUCCACCCACCUCGGUCUCCCAAAGUGCUGGGAUUACAGGCUUGAGCCACCGGGUGACUGGCUUACAGGGAUAUUUUUAAUCCCGUUAUGGACUCUGUCUCCAGGAGAGGUGUCUAUCCACCCCUGCUCAUUGGUGGAUGUUAAACCAAUAUUCCUUUCAACUGCUGCCUGCUAGGGAAAAACUACUCCUCAUUAUUAUCAUUAUUAUUGCUCUCCACUGUAUCCCCUCUACCUGGCAUGUGCUUGUCAAGUUCUAGUUGUUCAAUAAAUUUGUUAAUAAUG
rnacentral:sRNA from 1 species